rnacentral:rRNA from 1 species
UACGGAGGGAGCUAGCGUUUUUCGGAAUUACUGGGCGUAAAGCGCACGUAGGCGGCUUUGUAAGUUAGAGGUGAAAGCCUGGAGCUCAACUCCAGAACUGCCUUUAAGACUGCAUCGCUUGAAUCCAGGAGAGGUGAGUGGAAUUCCGAGUGUAGAGGUGAAAUUCGUAGAUAUUCGGAAGAACACCAGUGGCGAAGGCGGCUCACUGGACUGGUAUUGACGCUGAGGUGCGAAAGCGUGGGGAGCAAACAGG